rnacentral:rRNA from 1 species
UACGGAGGAUGCAAGCGUUAUCCGGAAUGAUUGGGCGUAAAGCGUCCGCAGGUGGCAAUGUAAGUCUGCUGUUAAAGAGUCUAGCUCAACUAGAUACAAGCAGUGGAAACUACAUAGCUAGAGUACGUUCGGGGCAGAGGGAAUUCCUGGUGUAGCGGUGAAAUGCGUAGAGAUCAGGAAGAACAUCGGUGGCGAAGGCGCUCUGCUGGACCAUAACUGACACUCAGGGACGAAAGCUAGGGGAGCGAAUGGG